GGCAUAUCAUUGGAAGAUUGGCCAUAAGAGACUACAUUUACCACGGGUCCGCCCAGUGUCCUUUGUGUAAAUUCGUGCGUAAUCUUCAGCCACAGACAUUUUCUCCUGGGAUUCAGAGGGGAUAGCAGACUUCCACGAAUGAUAUAUCAUCGAAGAGAUAUGUGAAAAACACCUUGAGGAUUGGUCCUAAACAACGUUUGCCAUGUUUCAGUCGAUAUUAUGGAGGUAAUUUGGAAAAAAGUUUGACGUUUUGAAGACUGAAUUUUCGUUUUUUUUUGGUAGCCAAACGUGACGCACCAAACGGAGCAAUUUCUCCUAAACAAAUCAUCUUUCAGGAAAAACGGAGCAUUUGCUAUCUAACUGAUAGUCUCCUCAUUGAAAACAUCUGAAGUUCUUCAAAGGUGAAUUGUCUUCCAUGGUGAUAAGAUGACAGGGAAACUACACCUCCUCCUGGUCUUGCUGGGCCUCUGUAGUGAAUGGUCAGAGUCUGGAGGCCAUUCCCUCCAGUCGUCCUGAAAAAGCCUUCAGAACCUCUCAGCCUCUCAGCCUCUCCUGUAAGGGACCUUUAGUAGCUACAACAUGGCAUGGAUAUGUCAACCUGCAGGAAGAGCACUUGAAUGGACAGGCAUUAUAUGGAGUGAUGCUAGUGGAACUGCAUACGCAAAAAGUGUUGAAGGACGGGUAGAAGUCACCAGAGAGAAUUUUAACAGCAUGGUGUAUCUGAAGCUGUCUGGUCUGAGAGAAGAGGACUCUGCUGUGUAUUACUGUGCAAGAGACACAGUGGUGUGAGUGGAGGAUCUGCACAAAAAUCCCUCAGAGAUUCUAACUGGCAGCAGAGUCAACAGAGGGCAGUAGAGCAUCAGUACAACAGAGUCAACAGAGGGCAGUAGAGCAUCAGUACAACAGAGUCAACAGAGGGCAGUAGAGCAUCAGUACAACAGAGUCAACAGAGGGCAGUAGAGCAUCAGUACAGCAGACUACAAACUGCACACAUUCCACUGAGAACCAAAUCAACCAGUAAACCUUCAACUGAACUGCUGUUAACAUGAGCAUUGUCCUAUAGGCAAGAGUAGAUAGUUAGAAACAUUGAUGAAAGUGUCACUCCACAAUACAUACUGGUACAUUAAUUGACAAUACAAAAUACAGAACCACAUUGUGGACCACUCAGAGUUCUGAGACACUGUAGGCAAUCAUAUGCAAACAUAGUUCAGUAUGUCAUUUGGUAUCAGCUAUAAUACGUUAUAGAAUGGGUUGUUCGGAUUCUGGAUGCUGAUUGGACAAGCAGCAUUCCAGGCCGUGCUGUAUUGGCCGUUACAGACAUGCCAAUGCCUGCUGACAGUUCCAUCUGAAAAUUAUCACUGCAUCUCCAUAAGAAUGUUAUGCUGUCUGAAUCAUCUCUUGUAUUUAUUUCAACUCACACUUUAUUUCCCCUUGCUUCAAGCCUUGCAUUUAGUUUGGAACAGCGGUGGUUAAAAUAAGCCUAGCUGGAAGAUUUGUUUCACUUUUGAAAUUUAAAUUCCCUGGUAGAGAGAAAGGUCACGUCCCCCUUUCUGACGUUGCACGCAUCAAACAAUGGUUGCGUGCCACGUCAUCGACUAUGUCAUCGACUGACAGAUUUCCAUAGAGAUCAGGAUGGGGGCGGCAGGGUAGCCUAGUGGUUAGAGCGUUGGACUGCCCCUGAACAGGCAGUUAACCCACUGUUCCUAGACCAUCAUUGAAAAUAAGAAUUUGUUCUUAACUGACUUGCAUAGUUAAAUAAAGGUUAAAAAAAGACUCAUUCCUAAUUCUAUGCAGAUUGCUGUAACAUACAAUGUGGUCGUGAAGAAUCAAGAGCAUCCUGUCGGGCUGUAUCACCGCCUGUUACAGCAACUUGACCAGCACCUACUGUACAGCUUGGACUGGACAGUCUACAGGAAAAACACUGGAGAGGAUUGACGUCAUUUGUUAUGAUGAAGCACAACUUAUAAAGAUUAACUGAAACACAAGUUCAGCAUCACCAGAGUCACUUCCAGCAACAGACUGUUUCUAACAGGACAGAGUCUGCAGACUUAAUCUCUCUGCGCACGGAACCCACUAGCGGGCUGAAAUUCCACAACAUACGGUGAUCGCUACAUAAAUAGUCAUAUUAAACAUUCAUGAAAAUACAAGUGUCUCACAUGUAUCGAAAGCCUAGAAUCUUGCUAAUCCAACUGCGUUGUCAGAUUUAAAAAAGGAUUUACUGCGAAAGAAUACGAUGCGAUUAUCUGAGCAAAAAGCCCCAUAAAAAACAACAAUUUUAACCAGCACAGGCGUAACAUGUUCACAAACUGCAUUAAGAGACUGUGUGUUAUUGUGCUGGAUGACUACAAUGAUACUAACCAAGACAUGGACCUGUUCUAAAACUGAAAACCCAUGAGCAUCAAGCACAAGUGCAACAUAUGGCCACCAGUGAUUCUAUAGAAGAAAACAAUAUAAAUCGAAAAACUGCUCUAUGACAUAACACUUAUUGUUGAUACACUGGCACAAUAAGUAUUAUAACAUGUACACCUUGAUUCUUCACAAAAACAUUUCUCAACAGUGCCAAGAUACAGUAUGUAGGAUUUAGACCCCUAGAGCAAUGGGGAGAAACAGUUAACACCAUAGAGAUGCAAAUGUGUUUCGAUUCACAUAGACCCAAGGUCUCCUCCCAUUUCAAUAGUCUGAUAUAACUGCCCUCCACAGAUCUCCCUCAGUCACGACGGCCACUCCCAGUCUCUUCCCUUGCUUCUAGAAUCGUAGAACCUUUCCACAAUGACACUUUUAGAAUGUGUGUUCCUCCUGACUCUCAUCUCAGCUGUUCAGGGGCAGUCACUCACCUCCUCUGAGCCAGUGGUGAAGAAACCUAGAGAGUCAGUAACACUGUCCUGUGCUGUCUCUGGCCUUUCUCUAAGCUAUCUGCAUUGGAUCCGUCAGAAACCAGGGAAAGGACUUGAGUGGAUUGGGCGCAUUGACAGUGGCACUGGCACUGUAUUUUCCCAGUCUCUCCAGGGCCAGUUCACCAUCACCAAAGACGGCUCAAAAAACCAGCUGUACUUAGAGGUGAAAAGCCUGAAGACUGAAGACUCUGCUGUUUAUUAUUGUGCCAGACACACAGUGACACAGGAAGCUGAAGCGCCAUACAAAAACUGAUCAACAGUGAUCCCAGGAUGAGAGGCAAUGAAGCGCGUCUGUUCUUAAAACACACACUUAACACUACACAAAAGUUGCUGAAAUUAUUAUAGAUCCUUGAACUCCACAAUAGAUUCCCAAGAGGGGAUGUGCAGUAAGAGAUACAUAUAAUUCAAUACAACUUGUAUUGUCCCACAUAGGGAAAUGCGCUUGUUUCUGUGCUGUUUAGCAUUGUAUAAAAUCAAACGUAUCUAGUCUGAACAUCCCAUAUGUAAAAUCUCUGGCUUUCACAGUCUAGGCAACUUGGACUGACAUUACAGCAAGCCCUGCACUAACCUGACUAUCACCGAACAAAGUUUAGUACUCUCCAAUAAGUGUUCAGGGUCAGACACUGACUGAGUCUCAAUCAGUGGUUAAAAAGUCUGAAGAAUCCCACAAACUGACUUGCACAUAUGCUGGGUUUAGAAGCAGCUAUUGGAAUGCUUGGAUCAGACAGGCGCCUGGGAAAGGUUGCUACCAUUAUUGGUACUGGCAGUUACAUCUACUACUCCCCGUCUUUUCAGGGUCGGUUCACCAUCUACAGAUUAACAGUCUGAAGACUGAAGACUCUGCUGUGUAUUAUUGUUGCAGAGACACAGUGACACAGGAGUCUGCAGCACUGUAUAAAAACGGAUCCAGCACUUCUCUUACUGUGAGAGUAUGUGAAACAAUUCUGAGCUCUAGUCUCUGUCAACAUCAAUCCCACGGCCCCACCAACACUAUAGGAGGGAGUAUGCACAUCGUACUCUAAAUUAUAACAAUAAUAUACAUGAUUACUUGAAAAAAUGAAAUAUACCUGACAACUUGUCAAGAUAACUGUAUGAAUAUCAUUAUAAACCUUUAACUGAGAACUUUAAAGCCAUUUCAAGUCAGUUGACAAUAGUAAAUAACUAACAUUACUAUUACAUUACUAUUCGGUUAUGUUUUUCAAUUUGGUGAUCUUAUUUAAAUGAAACCAGAUUUCAAAUUUCAUUAAACAAUUAAUGCAAUAUUAAAUACAUGUACCACGAAGGUCAUUAAUGUUAAACAGUAAUGGAACAAAUAUAGAUCUUUGGGUGAACCUAAUAGAUUGUCAUCCUGUGCUGUUCUGAGAAACAAUGUUGACAUUAUCAACUCUUCAUUUCAGUCUCUAUUUAAACCUCUGGUGGGAGGUCUAUGCAAAGUCAAUCCUUUCAUCCCAUUAUAAUCAGACAGUCAGCUCUGGCCUUCCCAUUAUAGGUCGCCUGGCUGACAUUACAGUGAGCCCUGCACUAACUAUCACUAAACAAUGAAGCUUACGAAAAAGCCCUGGAGUGGAAUGGGAGAAUGAAUAAAAGGCCAGUUCAGUCUGACUGAGGACGUCUUCACAAGCACACAGUUAUUGUAGGCCAAGAGGACUCUGCUGUUUAUUAUUGUGCUCGCCAGUGGCGGGUUUAGGUAUAGGCGACAUGGGCAGCCGCCCAGGGCAGCAUCUUGCUGGGGGCGGCACGGGGUGCCCGCACACUAAAAAAAAUGUUUUAUUACAUUUUGAAUGGUGACAUUUGCGUGAUCGGUUCUCUAUCACUCAGUUGCUCAUCAUGUCAUUGAUAUCAUGUCAGCAUGUGGGUCAAUUAACCUUGCCGGGGUGGGUGCCCUGAUAGUUUGUGAGCUAGGCAGGCUACUGCCUGGGAAGGGCUCCCACUCAGAAGUACGAGAUGGGGAGGGGGGCAGGGUUAGGUUGACCUCAGGUCUCCCCACUGGAAGCCUGAGGUAGGGGGAACGGGGGAAUCUAUCAAAUAGCGCACCUCUAACUUUGUACAGGACUAAUGCAAUUAGCGUUGGACUAGUAACCGGAAGGUUGCAAGUUCAAACCCCCGUGCUGACAAGGUACAAAUCUGUCGUUCUGCCCCUGAACAGGCAGUUAACCCACUGUUUCUAGGCUGUCAUUGAAAAUAAGAAUUUGUUCUUAACUGACUUGCCUGGUUAAAUAAAGUUAAGUGCAUUAGUGUAAUAAUCAGGUUCUAUUCUUUAUAAGUGUGUUAUUUUGUGUAUUUGUGUGAUAUAUGAUUUGUGCAAUUUAGUUUAAUUUGUGUGUUUUUUGUUAGCAAUAGGGUAAUAGUGUAAUAAUUCGAUUUUUUUACAUUGGUAUUUAUUUAUUAGAAUUUGUUUCUAUUUGUCUUUGUUAAUUCUUUUCGAUAGUUAUGAGUCUUUUUUGUAUAUAUUUUUAGAUUCACAUAGUUUUAAAUGACCAUUUAUUUGUGUUGUUCCAAAUGUCUGAAUAAAAAUUACAGUUAAGGUAGGUGAACACCCCGCUGAAGGGGGGAUUCAACCAGGGAGCCAUACAAGCUAGAACAUCCACUGCUCGACAGAAACACUGACUGAAGCUGGUGAACCAGCUGUACAACAUGGAUAGGUGGGGUACUACUACCUCUCUUUGUGUCACACUAGAAUAAUACUGAGUAUCAGUAGUGUAAAUAAUAAAACAACAAUAUCACAAAGCACUACACUACAAGAGUCCAAACACUAACAUUCAAACUACCUCUUGCCUAGACUGGUCAAGCUUUCUUGAUGUCACAUGAACAAGUAAUUAACUUAUUUGGGACAGGGGGGCAGUAUUGAGCAGCUCGGAUAGCUACUCAGUAGCUGGUGCCCAGAGUAAACUAAAUGCUACUCUGUCCUAAAAGCUAGAAUAUGCAUAUAAUUAGUAGAUUUUGAUAGGAAACACUCUGAAGUUUCUAAAACUGUUUGAAUGAUGUCUGUGAGUAUAGCAGAGCUCAUAUGGCAGGCAAAAACCUGAGAAAAAAUCCAACCAGGAAGUGGGAAAUCUGAGGUUUGUAGUUUUUCAACUCAGCCCGUAUUGAAUAUAUAGUGGGAUAUGGGUCAUCUUGCACUUCCUAAGGCUUCCACUAGAUGUCAACAGUCUUUAGAACGUUGUUUCAGGCUUCUACUGUGAAGGGGGGCUGAAUGAGAGGGAAAUGAGUCAGAGGUAUAUCAGCAGCCACAGGCUCACGAUGCGCGGUCAUGAGAAAGUUACCUCUCGUUCCAUUGCUUUUCUACAGACAAAUGAAUUCUCCUGUUGGGACAUUAUUGAACAUUCAUGAUAAAAACAUCCUAAAGAUUGAUUCUAUACAUCGUUUGAUAUGUUUCUACGACUAGUAAUAUAACCUUUUGGAAUUUUCGUCUGACAUUUCCGCUGGACUUGCCCCGCCUCAUGAGUUUCGAUUUGUUUACUAAACACCCUAACAAAAGGAGGAAUUUGGACAUAAAUUAUGGACAUUAUGGAAACAAUCAAACAUUUAUUGUGGAACUGGGAUUCCUGGGAGUGCAUUCUGACAAAGAUCAUCAAAGGUAAGUGAAUAUUUAUAAUGCUAUUUCUGACUUAUGUUGACUCCAACAUGGCGGAUAUCUUCUUGGGUUGUGUAUGUCUCUGAGCGCCUUACUCAGAUUAUUGCAUGGCAUUAUUGCAUGGUUCUCCGUAAUGUUUUUUUGAAAUCUGACACAUUAAGACAAAAAUAAAUUCCACAAUUAACUUUUAACAAGGCACACCUGUUAAUUGAAAUUCAUUCCAGGUGUCUACCUCAUGCAGCUGGUUGAGAGAAUGCCAAAAGUGUACGAAGCUGUCAUCAAGGCGAAGGGUGGUUACUUUGAAGAAUCUCAAUAAUAAAAUAUAUUUUGAUAUGUUUAACACUUUUUUUGGUUACUACAUGAUUUUUGGGUUAUUCCCUGUUUUAUUUCAUAGUUUUGAUGUAGAAAAUUUUACAAAUAAAUAAAGCCAAACCCUUGAAAUAGUAAGUGUGUCCAAAAUUUUAACUGGUACUGCAUAUGUAAUUAUUAAUCGUAUAUAAUUGAAUAUGCCAAUUAUUGGUGUCACUCAAGGAUCUACACUGAACAAAUAUAUAAAUGCACCAUGUAAAGUGUUGGUCCCAUGUUUCAUGAGCUGAAAUAAAAGAUCCCAUAAAAUCAAUGUUCCAUAAGUACAAAAAAGCUUAUUUUUGUGAACAAAUUUUAGUGAGCAUUUCUCUAUUUUUUUUACCUUUAUAUUACUAUGCGAGUCAGAUAAGAACAAAUUCUCAUUUUCAAUGACGGCCUAGUUCAGAACAACAGAUUUGUACCUUGUCAGCUCUGGGAUUCGAUCUUGCAACGCUCUAACCACUAGGCUACCACCUGACAAGUGAUGUGUGGCAUAUCAAGAAGCCUAUUAACCCAUUACAGUCUAAGUGCUGGCUGGGGGAUGGGUGGGGGGUUGUACUAUAGUUUGCCAUCAGAUAUUAUAUAUUUAAUUUUGAUUCACAUGAUUACUUUUAUGACUUUUUCUUCAUAUUUUUGAUCCAUAAUUGGCAGGUACGUGCUUUUGUAUGUUUUCAUGGUUUAUCAUUUUAGAUUUAAUUGAAAAUCUGAUCUGUCUAUGAGAGUAUUUCAUGUGUCGACCAGUGUGUGUAGUUGAUGCAAAUUGUGUUGCAUCGAGUCUUUUAGAAACUUUCAUACUAAGAUCAAUGUUAAAAUCAGUUUUUGUACAGCACUGCAGCCUCCUGUGUCACUGUGGCUGUCGUGCACCAUCUGAGUGUCUGAUUAUGAAGGGAUAAAUGAGAGGGAGACUUUGCAUAGACCACCCUCUAGAGAAAUAAAUAUCCUGACAGGGAGAGAUCUGCUCUAUUCCUUUAUUCUCUCUCCUCCCUGUCCUGUGUUGUUCUCUCUGUGGUUCAGAUUCUACUUAUGAGACGUGUUGACUAUGAUGGCUUUAGUAGGAUGUGUUGACUAUAUAUGAUGGCUUUAUGUAUGAUGUGUUGACUAUAUAUAAUGGCUUUAUGUAUGAUGUGUUGACUAUAUAUAAUGGCUUUAGUAUUGUGUGUUGACUAUAUAUAAUGGCUUUAGUAUGAUGUGUUGACUAUAUAUAAUGGCUUUAUGUAUGAUGUGUUGACUAUAUAUAAUGGCUUUAGUAUGAUGUGUUGACUAUAUAUAAUGGCUUUACUAUGAUGUUUUGACUAUAAGGGCUUUAGUAUGAUGUGUUGACUACAUAUAAUGGCUUUACUAUGAUGUGUUGAAUAUAAUGGCUUUAGUAUGAUGUGUUGACUAUAAUGGCUUUAGUAUGAUGUGUUGACUACAUAUAAUGGCUUUAGUAUUGUGUGUUGAAGAUCAGCAACACGGGGACAAAAGUUCACAAUUUUUACUUGGAGUUUAAAUGUCUGAAAAUCAUUUAAUGAUGUAUGGUUUUGACGUGUUUGGUAAGGUUAACUUAUUAAAAUAUAAUUUGACAUUU